ACACGAUAACGUGAUUUAAAUAAUUGCAACAAACACCAUCAGAUGUUUUAUAAUUUUGGCUCUUUCACAGCCUACUACGCAGACCCGGAAGCUGCAUGUUUUCUGACGGAGGACAAACACGUGGUUUUGAUAAAGAGAUAAAAGGAGCCUCCGCCUCAUUAACAGCCUCUCUUCUUUGUCGCGGUGAUAGAGGUCUGUUGUGUUGCGGCGGAGCGGCAAACACCAACACGUGUGAAGCUGUACUUAAGGAUUUAAGAGUCUGGACUGGGAGUAUCUUGAUCAGCAGGUAAUGGGAAAGCUGCAUCGCCCCAAUUUGGGAUCUGGAAGUUUCAAAGGAUUAAGUUGAAUGUUUAUACAGUUGUAGGGCAAUUUGAAACUCAUAACAAAGAUUUGUUGCCUGGAAAUAUUUAAUGUCUUUUUUUUAAUCUACACAAAUGUGUAAGGUCAAAUCCCUGCAUUAAAAUCUUGUUGCAUGGUAUCAACUGUGAAAUUCACUGGUGAAUAAAGUGUUAAACUGUG